AUUUUUUAGNAGGAAGGGAGAAGUCGGUAACAAGGUUUCCGUAGGUGAACCUGCGGAAGGAUCAUUGUCGAAACCUGCCCUAGCAGAACAACCCGCGAACAAGUUCAUACCAUCUUACGGGGAUAGGGGUAGCUGGCUAGCCGGUCCCUUCCCUACGUUGGUGGCAUCCCACGGGAUGAUCACCGGCACAAUAACAAACCCCGGCGUGUUAUGCGCCAAGGAACAUAAACAUAGCUUUGCCAACCCAUUGCCCGGGUCCCCGGUGCAUUGGCUUGGCGGCGUAUCUUAGUCGUAAAACGACUCUCGGCAACGGAUAUCUCGGCUCUCGCAUCGAUGAAGAACGUAGCGAAAUGCGAUACUUGGUGUGAAUUGCAGAAUCCCGUGAACCAUCGAGUUUUUGAACGCAAGUUGCGCCCGAAGCCCUCGGGCCAGGGCACGUCUGCCUGGGCGUCACGCAUAGCGUCUCCCCAUCUCCCAACUAAGGGAAUGAGGAGGAGGAUGGCCUCCCGUGCCUCACCGGGCGUGGUUGGCUUAAAUAAGGAGCCCUUGGCAACUUGAUGCCGCGGCGAUUGGUGGCACAAUGGGCUUAUACCCGCAAAGCAUCGCGCCGUGCAACAAGCUGUCUUACUGGGCAUCGUCGGACCCUAAAUAANCUUUU
rnacentral:rRNA from 1 species